UACGUAGGGUGCGAGCGUUAAUCGGAAUUACUGGGCGUAAAGGGCGCGUAGGCGGCCUGUUAAGUCGAACGUGAAAUCCCCGGGCUCAACCCGGGGACUGCGUCCGAUACUGGCAGGCUUGAAUCCGGGAGAGGGAUGUGGAAUUCCAGGUGUAGCGGUGAAAUGCGUAGAUAUCUGGAGGAACACCGGUGGCGAAGGCGGCAUCCUGGACCGGUAUUGACGCUGAGGCGCGAAAGCCAGGGGAGCAAACGGG
rnacentral:rRNA from 1 species